AUUUCUCAAACCUUCUUGGUUUCUCGAUCAAGAAGGCUUUGGACUUUGGAGGUCUUUGCCGGCUUUGUGAAAAGUCGGCUCCUCUUAAAUGCAUUAGUGGGGUCCCCUUUGCCGAUCUCUAGGCGUUGAUAAUACACUUCUACGUCUUGGGAUUUGCUCUGUUCUUUGGGAACCUGCUUCUAACCGUCUCCGUCGGAGACAUCGUUCGAGCUUGCUCGACACACGAA
rnacentral:misc_RNA from 1 species